GGGCCGGUCCAUCGUCUAAAGUGUUCUGUCCCCGCCGGUCAGCUGGGGCUUGUUCAGGGGCAAGAUCCCUUUAUUUAAAUCUUGGUCAGGGGAGGCGGGGUCGGGCUGCAACACGUUCCCGCCGGCCAGGUGAGAAGCAGAAGGUGGAGUUUGGGGUCGAGGCUCAAUUUGAAGCACGAAUUUGUUGCCUUAGGUCCCGAGCACAAGGUUCAUAUUUAUCGAACUCCGGGACACCUUUAAACGGGGCGACAAGGCAGCUGGUGUUUGUACCAUAAAUGCGGAUCUACUCUAGGAUGGGAGUGAGGCCAUGAUCCGGGAGGUGCACGCGUGUAUGCUGUACGGCGAUCUGGUGGCUGGAGGUGAGGACUGAAACAACCAGCGCGGUAUUACAUUGAUCAGCGUGCCAACCAUGGUGCUUGUCCUCCUGUUGCUUACGCGGGUACACAGCCACCUCCUGAACCAGCGGCAGGUCGAGUAGUCUGUAACCUCACGAGCUAUUAACUUUUACCCUUUAAGUUACUAUUAUAGAAAGGCGUUUGAGUCACAGAAUCGAUACUGAUUGUUGUUAUCAUUUUCAGAACCGCCGCCGCCGCCACCACCACCACCACCACCACGGCUACGACCCCCCACCCCCACCACUGCCACCACAACCCCCACCACUGCCACUCCAACCUCAACCACUGCCACCCCCAGCAUGCUCCUGCCUGCCCCCCUCCCCCUGCCCCCCGCCACGGCCCCCACCCCCUCCUCCUCAGUCAUUGGGGAGGGCGGGGGGGAGGUGGGGAGGGUGGCCGAGGGGGGGGAGCGAAGGGGGGAGGGGGCGUGGAGGAGGGGAAGGGGCGUCCGUGGCCGUGUGCGUAGAUGCCUAUGGCCCGUAGAUCACACACAGGUGAAGAAGAAACUGGAGGAGGAAAUGAGGAAGAUGGAGGAGGAGGAGGAGGCGAGGUUCAGGGAGAGGUGGGAGGUAGUGGAGGAGGUCCCUGUUCCCUGCCCCCACCCCCCUCCCGCCUUCUACUGGAGCAAGGUGAAAGAAGAGAAGAAAGAUGAAUCACACACAACCACUCCUAUUCCUCCUCCUCCUCCUCCUCCUCCUCCUCCUCCUCCACCUCCUCCACCUCCUCCUUCUUCCUCUUCAGCCUCCCUCCCUCCAGAUAUUCGUCUUCUCCAUGCAAGAGCUAAAAGAGGAGGAGGAAGAAGAGAAGAAGGAGGAGGGAGAGGAGAAGGAGGAGGAAGAGGAGAAGAAGGAGGAGGAGGAGGAGGAGGAGAAAAAGGAGGAGAAAACCAAAGUAUACCUGUCUCUUCCUCCUCCUCAACCUCCUCCUCCUCCUCCUCCUCCUCAACCUCCUCCUUAACCUCCACCUCCUCUUCCUCAUCUUCCCCUUCUUCCGUCCCUUCCUCCUCCACAUCCUCUACCUCUUCUACUUCGUCGUCAUCUUCAUCUUCGUCUUCUUCUAUUCCUCCUCCUCCUCCUCCUCCUCCACCUCCUACUCCUCCUCCUCCUGCAAGCUCAAGAGGAAAGAGGCGCCCCCCCUCCCCCUCCCCCCCUUGCACCCCUUCCAAGCGAUUGAGAAUGUAGACGAGAGAGAGAGAGAGAGAGAGAGAGAGAGAGAGAGAGAGAGAGAGAGAGAUUUAUGUCUGUUUAUUGAUUGAUUAUAAACGUUGCUACAUUAUUUUUUUUCUCAUUGUAUUGUUGUUGUUGUUGUUUUUCUUCUUUAUUCACUUCCACGUUCUCUUUUUUUUUAAGUGAUCUUUUAAAAGCACAGAUUUAUUUUUGUUGUUUGUUGUAUAAGACGUACGAAUUUAUAUAUUUUUUUCUUUCGUUAUGUGUAUGUUUGUUUGUUUGUUAGUGAUAUAUUCCUUCAUUGCUGUUGUAUUUCCUGUAUUUUUGUUUUUUUAGCUGUAUUGUAUUAAUGUAUUUAUUUAGUGAGUCUAAUAUAUAUUGUAAUAGUUAAGGGCUGAGUAACUAUUUAUAUAUUCCCUUCGUCUGAUCAUAUAUAUUUUCUGUGUAUUUGUAUCUAAAAAACGUAUCAUCUGUGAGCCGUAUGUGUUUGUGUUACGUGUAGAUAUGUCUAUAUAUUGUUGUUGUUGUUGAUGUCAUUAUUGUCAUCGUUAUUAAUAUUAUAGGUCUGUUCCGCGUGCAAUAUUAAAGUUAAGAUAUUACAGUUCCUCCCUCCAUCUUCAUCUUCCUCUAUUUUCUCUUUCUUCCUCCUUUUCCUUCAUUUUCUUCUUUCACUCUUUUUUUCCUUUCUAUUCCUCUUCCUUCUACCCCUUCUUUCUCCCUCUCUCCUUCUUUUCCUUACUCAAUCUUUUACCUCGGUCCUCUCUUUCCUCUUCCUCUUCCUCCUCCUCCUCCUCCUUCUUCUUCUCUUUUCUUCAUUCCUCUCCCAGUUCCCUUUUCUCUCCUCAUCUUUCCAUUCCCUUACUGAACCUACACACACACACACACACACACACACACACACACACACACACACACACACACACACACACACACACACACACA